CUUCUUUUUCACCGGAGCUUGCUCCACCGGAAAAAGAAGAGUGGCGAACGGGUGAGUAACACGUGGGUAACCUGCCCAUCAGAAGGGGAUAACACUUGGAAACAGGUGCUAAUACCGUAUAACAAUCAAAACCGCAUGGUUUUGAUUUGAAAGGCGCUUUCGGGUGUCGCUGAUGGAUGGACCCGCGGUGCAUUAGCUAGUUGGUGAGGUAACGGCUCACCAAGGCCACGAUGCAUAGCCGACCUGAGAGGGUGAUCGGCCACAUUGGGACUGAGACACGGCCCAAACUCCUACGGGAGGCAGCAGUAGGGAAUCUUCGGCAAUGGACGAAAGUCUGACCGAGCAACGCCGCGUGAGUGAAGAAGGUUUUCGGAUCGUAAAACUCUGUUGUUAGAGAAGAACAAGGAUGAGAGUAACUGUUCAUCCCUUGACGGUAUCUAACCAGAAAGCCACGGCUAACUACGUGCCAGCAGCCGCGGUAAUACGUAGGUGGCAAGCGUUGUCCGGAUUUAUUGGGCGUAAAGCGAGCGCAGGCGGUUUCUUAAGUCUGAUGUGAAAGCCCCCGGCUCAACCGGGGAGGGUCAUUGGAAACUGGGAGACUUGAGUGCAGAAGAGGAGAGUGGAAUUCAUGUGUAGCGGUGAAUGCGUAGAUAUAUGGAGGAACCCAGUGGCGAGGCGGUCUCUGGCUGUAAUGACCUGAGCUCGAAGCGUGGGAGCAACAGAUA
rnacentral:rRNA from 1 species